rnacentral:rRNA from 1 species
CCUACGGGUGGCAGCAGUAGGGAAUCUUGCACAAUGGGCGAAAGCCUGAUGGAGCAACGCCGCGUGGGUGAAGAAGGUCUUCGGGUUGUAAAACCCUGUUGUUAGAGAAGAAAGAGCGUGAGAGUAACUGUUCACGCUCCGACGGUAUCUAAGCAGAAAGCCACGGCUAACUACGUGGGAGCAGCGGCGGUAAUACGUAGGUGGCAGGCGUUAGCCGGAUUUAUUGGGGGGAAAGGGAGCGCAGGCGGCCCUUGAAGUCUGAUGUGAAAGCCGUCGGCUUAACCGGGGUAGUGCAUUGGAAACUGUGUGGCUUGAGUGCAGGAGAGGAAGGUGGAACUCCAAGUGUAGCGGUGAAAUGCGUAGAUAUAAGGAGGAACACCAGUGGCGAAGGCGGCUUGCUGGGCUGUAACUGACGCUGAGGUUCGAAAGCGUGGGGAGCAAACAGGAUUAGAUACCCUUGUAGUC